rnacentral:rRNA from 1 species
GACUCUCGGCAACGGAUAUCUCGGCUCUUGCAUCGAUGAAGAACGUAGCGAAAUGCGAUACUUGGUGUGAAUUGCAGAAUCCCGUGAACCAUCGAGUCUUUGAACGCAAGUUGCGCCCAAAGCCUUUUGGCCUAGGGCACGUCUGCCUGGGCGUCACACACAG